rnacentral:lncRNA from 1 species
CGGAUCGGCGCUGUUUCGUCCGACAGAUCCAAAAUGCCCAGAGCACCGGGCGCCCUCUCCGUGCUCCGCCCGUCGGGGCACCGCGCGCGUCCCCUGUGGAAUUCCCGUACUAGGGCGUCGCGGGAGGCCGCUGCGGCGGUGACGCCAGCAGAUCUCGGGGGCUCAGUGCUCCCGCUAUGUCACCGUCCGUGCCCUACCUAGGCAAGGUUCCAGUGGCUUCCCUUGGCAAGUGAGGCCCCAGACUUUCGGGGCCUGCAGAGCAGAAAAAGACCAAAAACUCCCGAGCGAGAAGGAGGGUCUUUGGAUGGAGAAAAGUGAAAUUCUGCAACCAAGAAAAUGAGAAAUGACGAUAUUGGGAAGACAAAGAUGACAAAGAGACCAAAAGUUCCCCUAGCCAACCAUCGCCCUUCUUUGUUAGUGUUUGCUGGCUAGGAUGUAAGAGAGCUUUUCACCUGUUUUGGUAAGGUGAGGAUAUAAUUUGCUUGUUCUUUUAAGUUUCUGCCCCAAACUGCCAAAGCUUUUCUGCAGGAGCCGACUGUUUCUGAUGCUUUGAGCAUCAGAUACUUUUAGCAUGAACGAGCUCCACACCCCCACCCCCACCCCCGCCCCCUGGCAAAAUAGAUUUGGAUCAUUUCUCAGGGCAUCUAGUCUCCCAGUUAUUUAAGAUUGGCAAGGUGGCAGGUCUUAGAAGAAGUACAGUGCUGAGCCUGGGCUUAAUGAUGCUAUAAAUUGAGUACCGAGUGUACAUGAUCAGAUAAACGGACAAAGGUGGAAGGUGUAUUCUUUUAUUAUUUAAACCUCGUGCCCCUGUGUAUUUUCUACAUGCCAGGUCUUCAUCAUGUUUUACGAUCCGUUCUGUGUCAUGGAAUUUGCCUUCACUAGAUGAAGAAGCACUAAUGAGAUUCUUUUAGUGCAGCAACUGAUCUCACUGCUUUUGAAAUCCUAAUUAGUCCCUGUAGUAGAUGUGUUAAGCAUCUCACUUGGGAUUACACCGAGCACUGUGGGCCACUUAGUCUUCAGAAAGUCGUUUAUCAGCUGACUAAAUUGGAAGUAGAUUCCUAGAAACAAACUUGCCCUACACCUAGGACAGAUAAAUCUCAAGAACUAACCUCAAGUGAUAUGUACGGACAUGGUGGUACAAACCUGUAAUCGCUGCCUUUGGAAAGCUAGGGCAACACGAUGAAGAGUUGAGAGUUAAAGAUAAGCUCAAGUAUCAUAGUGAGUUCAAAACCAGGCAGACUACAUAGUGAGAUUCUAUCUCAAACAACAACAACAAAUUUGAGUACCUCUACACAAAGUUGAUACUGGUAAAAUUUCAUUGAGUAAAAUAUACCACAUUUAGUAAUAUCCAAAUAUUUGAUUAAUUAAAUAAUAAGACUCACUACUAAAUAGGCAACUAAACAGUACAUUUCCAGUAAGGUCUAUUUCAGGGUCCUUGUUUGAGCCAAGAGCCCUGGCAGGUAUUUUAUAUACAGUAUUUUUACCCAACACAUAGUAAUUUGAUCUUAUUUAUACAAAUGAGCAGUCCCUUUCCAAAACUAAGUCACUUCCUUAGUAAACGCUGGUCUGACUUGAGAGCCAUGUCUUCCACCAUAGCAUGCAGUAUUAUGUUUUCUGUAUUGUUGGGAAGGCAUUAGGGUGCAUCAGAGGAACUCCAGAAAGGGUGAGGGGAGAUGUUAAAGAGAGAUUUCAAGAGAUUGGCUCAAGAUUGCUAAAGCUGAUGUCUAGAGAGUAGAUGGACAGACAGACAGUAAUAGUGGACUUUGCAUUCUGGGAUCUGAAACUGAUAAGAGAAAACUGCCAGGCUGAAAAGAUAGGCAGGAUUUCUUUCUAUGCUGGAGUCUUCAGAAAGAAAGUGCAAAUCUUCACUCUUAAACCCUUUAACAGAAUAGACAAGGCCCAGCCACUUUGAAGAGGGUAAUCUGCUUAACAUCUAGAGAUUAAGUGUUGCCAGCAUCUUGACCUAUGUUGGGCCAAACAACUGGAUGUUACAGCCUAACCAACAUGGCACAAAAUGAACCACCACAGAGAGAAACUUUAAACUUAAGUAAUGAAAGAAAUCCCUUUACCUAAAGC